rnacentral:rRNA from 1 species
AUUGAACGCUGGCGGCAGGCCUAACACAUGCAAGUCGAACGGUAACAGGAAGCAGCUUGCUGCUUUGCUGACGAGUGGCGGACGGGUGAGUAAUGUCUGGGAAACUGCCUGAUGGAGGGGGAUAACUACUGGAAACGGUAGCUAAUACCGCAUAACGUCGCAAGACCAAAGAGGGGGACCUUCGGGCCUCUUGCCAUCGGAUGUGCCCAGAUGGGAUUAGCUAGUAGGUGGGGUAACGGCUCACCUAGGCGACGAUCCCUAGCUGGUCUGAGAGGAUGACGAGCCACACUGGAACUGAGACACGGUCCAGACUCCUACGGGAGGCAGCAGUGGGGAAUAUUGCACAAUGGGCGCAAGCCUGAUGCAGCCAUGCCGCGUGUAUGAAGAAGGCCUUCGGGUUGUAAAGUACUUUCAGCGGGGAGGAAGGGAGUAAAGUUAAUACCUUUGCUCAUUGACGUUACCCGCAGAAGAAGCACCGGCUAACUCCGUG